rnacentral:rRNA from 1 species
UGGGGAAUUUUGGACAAUGGGCGCAAGCCUGAUCCAGCCAUGCCGCGUGCGGGAAGAAGGCCUUCGGGUUGUAAACCGCUUUUGUCAGGGAAGAAAUCUUCUGAGUUAAUACCUCGGGAGGAUGACGGUACCUGAAGAAUAAGCACCGGCUAACUACGUGCCAGCAGCCGCGGUAAUACGUAGGGUGCAAGCGUUAAUCGGAAUUACUGGGCGUAAAGCGUGCGCAGGCGGUUUUGUAAGACAGAGGUGAAAUCCCCGGGCUCAACCUGGGAACUGCCUUUGUGACUGCAAGGCUUGAGUGCGGCAGAGGGGGAUGGAAUUCCGCGUGUAGCAGUGAAAUGCGUAGAUAUGCGGAGGAACACCGAUGGCGAAGGCAAUCCCCUGGGCCUGCACUGACGCUCAUGCACGAAAGCGUGGGGAGCAAACAGGAUUAGAUACCCUGGUAGUCCACGCCCUAAACGAUGUCAACUGGUUGUUGGGAAGGUCCCUUCUCAGUAACGUAGCUAACGCGUGAAGUUGACCGCCUGGGGAGUACGGCCGCAAGGUUGAAACUCAAAUGAAUUGACGGGGUCAUAGCAUGUUUCCUG